GAUGAACGCUGGCGGCGUGCCUAAUACAUGCAAGUCGAGCGAACGGACGAGAAGCUUGCUUUUCUGAUGUUAGCGGCGGACGGGUGAGUAACACGUGGAUAACCUACCUAUAAGACUGGGAUAACUUCGGGAAACCGGAGCUAAUACCGGAUAAUAUUUUGAACCGCAUGGUUCAAAAGUGAAAGACGGUCUUGCUGUCACUUAUAGAUGGAUCCGCGCUGCAUUAGCUAGUUGGUAAGGUAACGGCUUACCAAGGCAACGAUGCAUAGCCGACCUGCGAGGGUGAUAGGCCACACUGGAACUGAGACACGGUCCAGACUCCUACGGGAGGCAGCAGUAGGGAAUCUUCCGCAAUGGGCGAAAGCCUGACGGAGCAACGCCGCGUGAGUGAUGAAGGUCUUCGGAUCGUAAAACUCUGUUAUUAGGGAAGACCAUAUGUGUAAGUAACUGUGCACAUCUUGACGGUACCUAAUCAGAAAGCCACGGCUAACUACGUG
rnacentral:rRNA from 1 species